rnacentral:rRNA from 1 species
AACGAACGCUGGCGGCAGGCCUAACACAUGCAAGUCGAGCGCCCCGCACGGGGAGCGGCAGACGGGUGAGUAACGCGUGGGAACGUACCUUUUGGUUCGGAACAACUCCGGGAAACUGGAGCUAAUACCGGAUAAGCCCUCACGGGGAAAGAUUUAUCGCCGAAAGAUAGGCCCGCGUCUGAUUAGCUAGUUGGUGAGGUAACGGCUCACCAAGGCGACGAUCAGUAGCUGGUCUGAGAGGAUGAUCAGCCACACUGGGACUGAGACACGGCCCAGACUCCUACGGGAGGCAGCAGUGGGGAAUAUUGGACAAUGGGCGCAAGCCUGAUCCAGCCAUGCCGCGUGAGUGAUGAAGGCCUUAGGGUUGUAAAGCUCUUUUGUCCGGGAAGAUAAUGACGGUACCGGAAGAAUAAGCCCCGGCUAACUUCGUG